GAGUCUGAGAGCGAGAUCAGCUCGGUUAGUUCGGCAUCGAACAUUUCUUCAGGACCUGAUUACAGUUAUCUUGUGAGCAUGGCCAUACUUAGUCUCUCAGAAGAAAAAAAGGAUGAACUGUUAAAGCAAAGAGAUGAUAAGAUAUCUGACCUGGCUGCGCUGUGCGAAAAGACGCCAAAGGAUUUGUGGCUGGAAGAUCUUGACGCAUUUCUUGAAGAACUCGAAAUUGUCGACACCAAAGAACGUGAGGAUUCUGAAGCUGC